CCGCGGUAAAACGCGUUACUCCUACGGGAGGCAGCAGUGGGGAAUAUUGCACAAUGGGCGCAAGCCUGAUGCAGCGACGCCGCGUGAGGGACGACGGCCUUCGGGUUGUAAACCUCUUUCAGCACAGACGCGGUAUGUGCAGAAGAAGCACCGGCCAACUAC
rnacentral:rRNA from 1 species